UACGUAGGGUGCAGGCGUUAAUCGGAAUUACUGGGCGUAAAGCGUGCGCAGGCGGUCUUUUAAGUCAGAUGUGAAAUCCCCGGGCUUAACCUGGGAACUGCGUUUGAGACUGAAAGGCUAGAGUGUGGCAGAGGGGGGUGGAAUUCCACGUGUAGCAGUGAAAUGCGUAGAGAUGUGGAGGAACACCGAUGGCGAAGGCAGCCCCCUGGGCUAACACUGACGCUCAUGCACGAAAGCGUGGGGAGCAAACAGG
rnacentral:rRNA from 1 species